GACGAACGCUGGCGGCGUGCUUAACACAUGCAAGUCGAACGGAAAGGCCCUGCUUUUGUGGGGUGCUCGAGUGGCGAACGGGUGAGUAACACGUGAGUAACCUGCCCUGGACUUUGGGAUAACUUCAGGAAACUGGGGCUAAUACCGGAUAGGAGCUCCUGCUGCAUGGUGGGGGUUGGAAAGUUUCGGCGGUUGGGGAUGGACUCGCGGCUUAUCAGCUUGUUGGUGGGGUAGUGGCUUACCAAGGCUUUGACGGGUAGCCGGCCUGAGAGGGUGACCGGGCACAUUGGGACUGAGAUACGGCCCAGACUGCUACGGGAGGCAGCAGUGGGGAAUAUUGCACAAUGGGCGGAAGCCUGAUGAAGCAACGCCGCGUGCGGGAUGACGGCCUUCGGGUUGUAAACCGCUUUCGCCUGUGACGAAGCGUGAGUGACGGUAAUGGGUAAAGAAGCACCGGCUAACUACGUG
rnacentral:rRNA from 1 species